rnacentral:lncRNA from 1 species
AGAUGCUCUUAUCCCAGGGACAAUGCUUCAUGGAAGGGAGGGAGAUGCAAGAAUUGUUCCUUCCCCUUGAACCUGGCUUGAAACCAUUGUGGAUCUUCGGAGAAGGUGACAGCAGGAAGGAAAGAUGUCUCUGGGAUCCUGGCGUCCUCAGUCUUCACACAGAAAGAGGAUGUGUGAGAGGCAAUUAAAAUAAUAGGAAUUAAUUACCCGGCCC